UGGUUCCUGAAGGUUAGUCUGCG
rnacentral:piRNA from 1 species